GGGUAACCUGCCCAAGAGAUCGGGAUAACACCUGGAAACAGAUGCUAAUACCGGAUAACAACAGAUGAUGCCUAUCAACUGUUUAAAAGAUGGUUCUGCUAUCACUCUUGGAUGGACCUGCGGUGCAUUAGCUAGUUGGUAGGGUAACGGCCUACCAAGGCGAUGAUGCAUAGCCGAGUUGAGAGACUGACCGGCCACAUUGGGACUGAGACACGGCCCAAACUCCUACGGGAGGCAGCAGCU
rnacentral:rRNA from 1 species